rnacentral:rRNA from 1 species
UACGAAGGGGGGCUAGCGUUGUUCGGAAUCACUGGGCGUAAAGAGCGUGUAGGCGGCCAGGUAGGUCUGCUGUGAAAACUCGAGGCUCAACCUCGAGACGUCGGCGGAAACCAUCUGGCUAGAGUCCGGAAGAGGAGAAUGGAAUUCCCGGUGUAGCGGUGAAAUGCGCAGAUAUCGGGAAGAACACCCGUGGCGAAGGCGGUUCUCUGGGACGGUACUGACGCUGAGACGCGAAAGCGUGGGGAGCGAACAGG